rnacentral:misc_RNA from 1 species
GAUGAAGAACGCAGCGAAAUGCGAUAACUAGUGCGAAUUGCAGAAUUCCGUGAAUCAUCGAGUCUUUGAACGCACAUUGCGCCCCCUGGUAUUCCGGGGGGCAUGCCUGUCCGAGCGUCAUUGCUGCCCAUCAAGCACGGCUUGUGUGUUGGGUCGUCGUCCCCUCUCCGGGGGGGACGGGCCCCGAAGGCAGCGGCGGCACCGCGUCCGAUCCUCGAGCGUAUGGGGCUUUGUCACCCGCUCUGUAGGCCCGGCCGGCGCUUGCCGAACGCAAAUCAAUCUUUUCCAGGUUGACCUCGGAUCAGGUAGGGAUACCCGCUGAACUUAAGCAUAUCAAUAAGCGGAGGA